UCUGGUGACCCCGAUGAAAUGUUUCACUAACUCCGCGCUCCUCCUGCCCAAGGCUUUAUGCUGUUGUCCUUGGCUUUUCCCUGGGAAUGCUCUCCAAGUGGGAAUCAAAUGUUUUCCUGGAAUCCUGAACGGGCAGCCCAGAAAGGAAAGUGUUGCCUGGGUAACUCAGCAAAACAACCCAAACCUGUUGGUUUGAGUGAGUGUGUGCUGUUUGCCUGCCGAGGCACAGAGCAGCACUUGGGCACCAAAAGUGAGCUCCUCUUCCUCUUCAGGGCCAUGCACAUCACACCUCCGAAAUGCCCCAAGAAAUUCUCUCUUUCUAAGUGAAUCAUCCAUCACAAACACCCUGGAUUCCUGGAUAUGUUCAAAGCAGGACAGACCCCAGGAGCUGAAGUGAGGAAGGGGCUGUGCCUGUGGUGCGGGAGUCACAGAUCAACAGGGGACAAUUUACAGCUCCAUUGUAACCUUCCCCCAAAACCUGGGUCCCACCACCACUGUUGGAGUUUAAAAACCAUCUGUGAACUUCAGCAGGGACUAACCAGUGCCCACAACCACACUGGGCUGCUGCAAUCCCACCCUGGAGCCCUGCCAGCGCCUGCACUUUGUCUGGGUGAACAAACAAAAAUCAAACUCAUAUUCACUGGACCAAUUCAGAACCUACAGCUUUAAUGGUCUAAGAAAAAUAUAAUAUAAAAACAGACACAAACCUGGCCUGUUGGUUCCCACCAAGAGAAGAAUCUCUUGUUCUCAUUCUCGGCUGCAAACCUGAAGAAGGAAGCCUAGAAGAGGUUCCUAAAAUGGCUGAGUACAUUCAAAUGAGGCAAGAACACCCAACAGAGCGAACAGGUGCCCAUAAAAAACCUUCCUGAACAUUACAUAAAACCUGACCCUCUUUAAGUAUUUUCUUUUCAUCCAACAGAUAGAUACACUAAUAAGGCAUUUAACAAGCCACUAAUGAAGCAGGAGAUCUUUUAGGCAACAAAAAUACCAACUUCAAGCGGGCAAAACCGUGAAAGGAAUUGAAAGUGGAGCGGCCGGCGCGUGCAGACCAGAGAUUCAGCUGGAUGAUCACGUAUCCUGCUACAGUUCCUCAGGUCUGACUACAAGCAACCAGAAGUUCUUGAAAUUCUACUCCUCCUACUGCUCCAUCCUGAGGGAUGCCCACAAUGUUCCACUGGUUUUACCCCAAAACAGAGGAACCCUCGGGCAGAGCUGGGACCCCAGGCUCCCUUUCCCACUUCCCUCUGACUCCUUCAAGUAUCUUGGCUGGUGUGACAUAGAGGAACACAGUGUGAGAGGGAAUCAGCUCCUCUGCCCCCGAGUGAGGGAAGGGCCCUCAGAAGAAGAGCUGUUUUUCAGGAAAGAAGAAUAUACUCUGAAAAGAAGAAAACAAGUAACUGACGCAGAGAAAUGGGAAAAGAGGAUGCAAGAGAACUGGGAAAACUGUGCUGAGCUGAACCUUUCAUUCCAGGACCUAGGUGAUCUUUACCAGGUGGAAAACCUCAAAAGAAUCCUCCACAGAUUAAUCCGCGUGGAAAAGCUUUGGUUGGUGGACAAUUCCCUGACAGACCUCAGUGCCAUAAGGUUGCCAAGAUGCAGAGAGCUAAAUGUAAAUAAAAACCACUUUACAUCCUUCAAACAGCUGCCAAAAGUCCCUCAGAUUCAGCACUUAUCUCUUGCUGAAAACAACAUCACGAGCCUGAGUGGGAUUUCAGACUUCAGGCACACCCCACUGGAAUCCCUCAUCCUCAAGAGGAAUCCCUGUGAGUUCCAGGAAAGAUACAGACAGCUUGUGUUCUCCAAUUUGCCAAACCUGAAAAUACUGGAUGGCAUCCCAAAACUGCCAGAGGACUGCUCACCCCCUGAGGUCAGGUUUUUUUACAGAAUGUGUACUAUACUCUAAAACAAUAUUUUUGUAGGAUCUCAACUGAGCUACAACCACCUUGCUUAAAACAGACUGUAAAUCCUGCUUAUGGAAGUUCUAUUUUUUUUUUUUUUACUGGUCAAAGAGAUAUUGAAACAGAAAUAAAACAUUUUUGAGUGCAUUUGUGAUACCAAGUAUGGGUAUGGAUAUGUAAAUAAGACAUAAUGUUAUACUGAUAUCAUGAGUUGAUUUAGUUUAUUAUUAAAAUUAAUUAUUUAUUAAUAGCAAAAUUUAAGUUUAUUAUUAAAAAUAGUGUGUGCCAAGUAAGUAUGGGUAUGGAUAUGUAAAUAAGACAUAAUGUUAUACUGGAUAUUUAUUAAAUUUAAUUUGGAGUUUAA